CUCCUGUUAAUGGUGAACCUCUAAGGUAGAUACUCCUGUUAAUGGUGAACCUCUAAGGUAGAUACUCCUUUUAAUGGUGAACCUCUAAGGUAGAUACUCCUGUUAAUGGUGAACCUCUAAGGUAGAUACUCCUGUUAAUGGUGAACCUCUAAGGUAGAUACUCCUUUUAAUGGUGAACCUCUAAGGUAGAUACUCCUGUUAAUGGUGAACCUCUAAGGUAGAUACUCCUGUUAAUGGUGAACCUCUAAGGUAGAUACUCCUGUUAAUGGUGAACCUCUAAGGUAGAUACUCCUGUUAAUGGUGAACCUCUAAGGUAGAUACUCCUGUUAAUGGUGAAAGGUAGAUACUCCUGUUAAUGGUGAACCUCUAAGGUAGAUACUCCUGUUAAUGGUGAAAGGUAGAUACUCCUGUUAAUGGUGAACCUCUAAGGUAGAUACUCCUGUUAAUGGUGAACCUCUAAGGUAGAUACUCCUGUUAAUGGUGAACCUCUAAGGUAGAUACUCCUGUUAAUGGUGAACCUCUAAGGUAGAUACUCCUGUUAAUGGUGAACCUCUAAGGUAGAUACUCCUGUUAAUGGUGAACCUCUAAGGUAGAUAGUCCUGUUAAUGGUGAACCUCUAAGGUAGAUACUCCUGUUAAUGGUGAACCUCUAAGGUAGAUACUCCUGUUAAUGGUGAACCUCUAAGGUAGAUACUCCUGUUAAUGGUGAACCUCUAAGGUAGAUAGUCCUGUUAAUGGUGAACCUCUAAGGUAGAUACUCCUGUUAAUGGUGAACCUCUAAGGUAGAUACUCCUGUUAAUGGUGAACCUCUAAGGUAGAUACUCCUGUUAAUGGUGAACCUCUAAGGUAAAUACUCCUGUUAAUGGUGAACCUCUAAGGUAGAUACUCCUUUUAAUGGUGAACCUCUAAGGUAGAUACUCCUGGUAAUGGUGAACCUCUAAGGUAGAUACUCCUGUUAAUGGUGAACCUCUAAGGUAGAUACUCCUGUUAAUGGUGAACCUCUAAGGUAGAUACUCCUGUUAAUGGUGAAAGGUAGAUACUCCUGUUAAUGGUGAACCUCUAAGGUAGAUACUCCUGUUAAUGGUUAACCUCUAAGGUAGAUACUCCUGUUAAUGGUGAACCUCUAAGGUAGAUACUCCUGUUAAUGGUGAAAGGUAGAUACUCCUGUUAAUGGUGAACCUCUAAGGUAGAUACUCCUGUUAAUGGUGAACCUCUAAGGUAGAUACUCCUGUUAAUGGUGAACUUCUAAGGUAGAUACUCCUGUUAAUGGUGAAC